CACGUAGGGCGCAAGCGUUGUCCGGAAUUAUUGGGCCUAAAGCAUCCGUAGCCGGUUCUACAAGUCUUCCGUUAAAUCCACCUGCUUAACAGAUGGGCUGCGGAAGAUACUAUGGAGCUAGGAGGCGGGAGAGGCAAGCGGUACUCGAUGGGUAGGGGUAAAAUCCGUUGAUCCAUUGAAGACCACCAGUGGCGAAGGCGGCUUGCCAGAACGCGCUCGACGGUGAGGGAUGAAAGCUGGGGGAGCAAACCGG
rnacentral:rRNA from 1 species